rnacentral:lncRNA from 1 species
UUUUUUUUUUUUUUUUAAUGGCCUCACUGGAGGCAUAUGAAAUUCUCAGGCCAGGAAUCGAAUCCCAGCAGCACCUGCGACCUAUGCUACAGCUGUGGCAACAGUCUGGAUCCUUUUUAAGCCACUGCGAAGGCUAGGGGUUGAACCUCCACCUCUUCCACCACAACCCACCACUGCAGUCAGAUUCCUAACUCACUGAGCCUGGAGCGGAACUCCUUAAAUGACUUUUUAAAAAUUAUUUUGUCUUUCUCAUCGACAGCUACCUUUUCCUUCAUUCUUUUACAUUCCCUUGGUUUGGGAAAACUUUUGGUCAAAGUGGGCAGGUCACGGUGCAUGAGCUGCUCUGCAAUGCCCAAAUCCCUGAUCCAAAGGGCGUGACCCACGCUCAGCAGAGGAAAGCAGCCCUAGGUCAGGCUCCCCGAGACCAUCCCCCGAGGCAGACUCUCGCUAGCGGGAAUCCUCAGCACACAGUGGUGUUUGGGACUAUGAUUUAUUAGCCCAAAGGACAUGAAGCCGAAACAGCAAAGGGGAAAAGGGCGGGGCCUGGGGAACCAGGUGUUGAGUCUUCUCUGGGGACUCACACAGGACAAGUUUAAUUCCGACAGCGCUGAACUGUGACAGCACAACGGAGACUUAGCGCCCUGGGUUCACUGGGAACUGGUAACCUCUGCCUGGGAUGGGCCAGAAUCCUAGACUGGGGGGGAAAGCUGGUGUCAACACCCAUGAAACAGUCUGUGCAAAUGGUCUGGACACAGGGAGCCACGCUUGUCAUUGGGGAACAGUGGGAACCCUCUGGAAAUCCAAGAUCCCAGAUGCCCAACACCAGCCAGCCUGGCCAGCAGACUUCACAAUGAUGGCAGCCUCAGACAUAUGGAGGGAUUCCUCCUCCUGCUCACACCGUGGCUCCCAGAUCAGAGUGCAUUUGAGCCUCUGCUUCACCUGCAGACCAAGCCCACAUGCCGGGUGGCGUGAGGGGGAUCAGAGACUGCUGAUAGCCAGACAGCAUCAUCAGCUCAGCCAACCCAGUAUCAGCUCUGGGCCGGUAGGGACACUGUCCUGGUCUCUCGUCCAUGC